rnacentral:rRNA from 1 species
UGGGGAAUUUUGGACAAUGGGCGCAAGCCUGAUCCAGCCAUGCCGCGUGCGGGAAGAAGGCCUUCGGGUUGUAAACCGCUUUUGUCAGGGAAGAAAUCUUCUGAGUUAAUACCUCGGGAGGAUGACGGUACCUGAAGAAUAAGCACCGGCUAACUACGUGCCAGCAGCCGCGGUAAUACGUAGGGUGCAAGCGUUAAUCGGAAUUACUGGGCGUAAAGCGUGCGCAGGCGGUUUUGUAAGACAGAGGUGAAAUCCCCGGGCUCAACCUGGGAACUGCCUUUGUGACUGCAAGGCUUGAGUGCGGCAGAGGGGGGAUGGAAUUCCGCGUGUAGCAGUGAGAUGCGUAGAUAUGCGGAGGAACACCGAUGGCGAAGGCAAUCCCCUGGGCCUGCACUGACGCUCAUGCACGAAAGCGUGGGGAGCAGACAGGAUUAGAUACCCUGGUAGUCCACGCCCUAAACGAUGUCAACUGGUUGUUGGGAAGGUUCCUUCUCAGUAACGUAGCUAACGCGUGAAGUUGACCGCCUGGGGAGUACGGCCGCAAGGUUGAAACUU